rnacentral:rRNA from 1 species
GAUGAACGCUAGCGGCAGGCUUAACACAUGCAAGUCGAGGGGCAGCGCGGGAUAGCAAUAUCCUGGCGGCGACCGGCGGAAGGGUGCGUAACGCGUGAGCGACAUGCCCGUUGCCCGGGGACAACCGGUGGAAACGCCGACUAAUCCCCGAUGGGAUAUUGUGCCGCAUGGCACGAUAUUGAAAGUUACGGCGGCGACGGAUUGGCUCGCGUCCGAUUAGCUGGUUGGCGGGGUAACGGCCCACCAAGGCUGCGAUCGGUAGGGGUUCUGAGAGGAAGGCCCCCCACAAUGGGACGGAGACACGGCCCAUACUCCUACGGGAGGCAGCAGUGAGGAAUAUUGGUCAAUGGGCGGAAGCCUGAACCAGCCAUGCCGCGUGCGGGAAGGAGGCCCUAUGGGCUGUGAACCGCUUUUGCCUGGGGGCAAUAAGGGCGUCGCGCACGUCCGAUGAGAGUACCAGGCGAAUAAGCAUCGGCUAACUCCGUG